UGCGAGUCGCGCGCGUGCUCCCGUGCUUGCAUGGGAUGUCACGAGCGGCGUGCGGGUGCGUAACACGUAGACAACCUACCCUGGUGUGGGGAAUAACCUGGGGAAACCUGGGCUAAUACCGCAUAACACUGCCCGAUGCGAGUGGGGCAGUCAAAGUCUUUGGGCGCACUGGGAGGGGUCUGCGGUCUAUCAGUUAGUUGGUGAGGUAACGGCUCACCAAGGCGAUGACGGAUAGCCGGUCUGAGAGGAUGGUCGGCCACACUGGGACUUAGACAUGGUCCAGAGCCCUACGGGGUUUAGCAUGAAGGGAUCUUGCGCAAUGGGCGGAAGCCUGACGCAGCGACGCCGCGUGGAGGAAGACGCCGUUCGCGGUGUAAACUCCUUUUCUCGGGGAAGAAUAUGACGGUACCCGAGGAAUAAGCCCCGGCUAACUCCGUGCCAGCAGCCGCGGUAAUACGGAGGGGGCGAGCGUUAUCCGGAUUUACUGGGCGUAAAGGGCGCGUAGGCGGCGGCGCUAGCCGCUUGUGGAAGCUCCUGGCUCAACCAGGAGAGGUCAAGCGGGACGGUGCUGCUGGAGGCAGGGAGAGGGUCGCGGAACUGGCGGUGGAGUGGUGAAAUACGUAGAUAUCGCCAGGAACACCCGUGGCGAAGGCGGCGACCUGGCCCUGUACUGACGCUGAGGCGCGAUAGCGAGGGGAGCGAACGGGAUUAGAUACCCCGGUAGUCCUCGCCGUAAACGCCGGGUGCUGGGUGUUGGAGUCGGACUUUUCUCCGGCUGC
rnacentral:rRNA from 1 species